GUGUCAGCAGCCGCGGUAAUACGAAGGGGGCUAGCGUUGUUCGGAAUUACUGGGCGUAAAGGGCGCGUAGGCGGCCGUUUAAGUUAGGUGUGAAAGUCCUGGGCUCAACCUGGGGACUGCACUUAAUACUGGAUGGCUUGAAUUCGGGAGAGGAUAGCGGAAUUCCCAGUGUAGAGGUGAAAUUCGUAGAUAUUGGGAAGAACACCGGUGGCGAAGGCGGCUAUCUGGACCGACAUUGACGCUGAGGCGCGAAAGCGUGGGGAGCAAACAGGAUUAGAUACCCUGGUAGUCC
rnacentral:rRNA from 1 species